CAGUCGCCACGGUAAUACGAAGGGGGCUAGCGUUGCUCGGAAUCACUGGGCGUAAAGGGUGCGUAGGCGGGUCUUUAAGUCAGGGGUGAGAUCCUGGAGCUCAACUCCAGAACUGCCUUUGAUACUGAAGAUCUUGAGUUCGGGAGAGGUGAGUGGAACUGCGAGUGUAGAGGUGAAAUUCGUAGAUAUUCGCAAGAACACCAGUGGCGAAGGCGGCUCACUGGCCCGAUACUGACGCUGAGGCACGAAAGCGUGGGGAGCAAACAGGAUUAGAUACCCCAGUAGUCCAUGUCUCUUAUAC
rnacentral:rRNA from 1 species